rnacentral:rRNA from 1 species
CAGCCGCCGCGGGAACACAGAGGGUGCGAGCGUUAAUCGGAUUUACUGGGCGUAAAGCGUGCGUAGGCGGCUUCUUAAGUCGGAUGUGAAAUCCCUGAGCUUAACUUAGGAAUUGCAUUCGAUACUGGGAAGCUAGAGUAUGGGAGAGGAUGGUAGAAUUCCAGGUGUAGCGGUGAAAUGCGUAGAGAUCUGGAGGAAUACCGAUGGAGAAGGCAGCCAUCUGGCCUAAUACUGACGCUGAGGUACGAAAGCAUGGGGAGCAAACAGGAUUAGAUACCCCAGUAGUCCCUGUCUCUUAUAA